UACGAAGGGGGCUAGCGUUGCUCGGAAUCACUGGGCGUAAAGCGCACGUAGGCGGACUCUUAAGUCGGUGGUGAAAUCCUGGAGCUCAACUCCAGAACUGCCUUCGAUACUGAGAGUCUCGAGUCCGGGAGAGGUGAGUGGAACUGCGAGUGUAGAGGUGAAAUUCGUAGAUAUUCGCAAGAACACCAGUGGCGAAGGCGGCUCACUGGCCCGGUACUGACGCUGAGGCGCGAAAGCUAGGGUAGCAAACGGG
rnacentral:rRNA from 1 species